CCUACGGGGGGCUGCAGUGGGGAAUAUUGGACAAUGGGCGAAAGCCUGAUCCAGCCAUGCCGCGUGUGUGAAGAAGGCCUUCGGGUUGUAAAGCACUUUCAGUGGGGAAGAAAGCCUUGGGGCUAAUACCCUCGAGGAAGGACAUCACCCACAGAAGAAGCACCGGCUAACUCCGUGCCAGCAGCCGCGGUAAUACGGAGGGUGCUAGCGUUAAUCGGAAUUACUGGGCGUAAAGCGCGCGUAGGCGGUCUGAUAAGCCGGUUGUGAAAGCCCCGGGCUCAACCUGGGAACGGCAUCCGGAACUGGCAGGCUAGAGUGCAGGAGAGGUAGGUAGAAGUCCCGGUGUAGCGGUGAAAUGCGUAGAGAUCGGGAGGAAUACCAGUGGCGAAGGCGGGCUUCUGGACUGACACUGACGCUGAGGUGCGAAAGCGUGGGUAGCAAACAGGAUUAGAUACCCGGGUAGUC
rnacentral:rRNA from 1 species